rnacentral:lncRNA from 1 species
GCCAAUACAUAAACAAGUUUACAAUCUUGACAAAACAGUAGGUUGACCUAAACUUCACCUACUACCACUAAUACACAUAGUAACUUGUGCUAAUUAGCUUGAACAAAUAAACAAAGCUGAUUUAUCAGCUCAAUCAACAUCAAAAUUACAUCAAGCAUAAACCUAACAUAGUUAUAAAGCAACUAAGUUACAUUACUUUAACUUAAAAUUACAAAAUGAAACAUAAACAGCUUGCUGACUAGAUGAACCAGCAACUUCUGCAUGUUGAGCCUUCGAUGGUCUUGGUUGCUGCAUGCUGACCAUUACUUCAAUACUCCUCCUUGGUUAGCAUGUUGCGAACUCCCAUAUUAGCUCUCAGAUGUUGAAACUUGGAAACACUUAGUGCUUUUGUUAAAAUAUCAGCAAUUUGCUCUUCAGAACUGCAAUGUAUCAGCUUAACAACAUGAGCUUGUUCCAUUUCUCGAACUGCAUGAAGUUUGAUGUUGAAGUGCUUGGUCCUUCCAUGAAAAACAGGAUUCUUAGCAAUAGCAACUGCUGAUUGGUUGUCACACAUUAUCUCAGUUGCUUCCUUUUGCUCAUGAUUUAUAUCUUUCAAAAUUUUUCUAAGCCAUAUGGCUUGAUUGACUGCUGCAGCAGCAGCUACAUAUUCUGCUUCUGCAGUCGACUGAGCCACUACUUCCUGCUUCUUUGAGCUCCAGCAAAUCAUAGCAGAGCCUAUGUUGAAAGCAUAACCUGUAGUGCUCUUCAUGUCAUCCAAGGAACCAGCCCAAUCACUGUCACAAUAUCCAACUAGCUUCAAGUUCUCAGCCUUGGUAAACUGCAUUCCAUAGGACAAAGUUCCUUUGAUGUAUCUUAGAACCCUUUUUGCAGCUCUAAAAUGACUUUCAUUUGAACAAUGCAUAAACCUCGAGAGUAGACUCACAGCAUACAUUAUGUCAGGUCUAGUAGCAGUCAAAUACAACAAACAUCCAACUAGACUUCGAUAUGUUGUUUCACAAACCUUUUCAUGCUUGUCUUGGCUCGAGAGUUUUUCUCCAACAGCAACUGGUGUGCUGGUUGCUUUGCAAUUCUCCAUUGAGAAUUUAUUGAGAACCUUCAUAGCAAAGGUCUUUUGACUUAGCCAAAUCCCAUUCUUAGCUUGAGUUACUUCCAUGCCUAAGAAGUAAGACAUCAAUCCCAAGUCUGACAUUUCAAAGUGCUGUUGCAUUUUGACUUUAAAACUGCUUAGCAUCUCAUGAUCUCCUCCUGUCACCAGUAGGUCAUCGACAUAUAUUGAGACAAUGAGCUGAGUUUCAGCACUAGUUGAUUUAACAUACAGAGUUGGCUCGCUAAGACUUCUUUCAAACCCUUGACUGGUCAGAUAGCCAUCUAUUCUGCUAUACCAGGCCUUUGGAGCCUGUUUCAAGCCAUACAAGGCUUUGUUGAGCUUGUACACCAUUUCUUCCUUGCCAGACACCUUGAAACCUUGAGGUUGCUCCACAUAAAUCUCCUCUUCAAGGAAUCCAUUCAGAAAUGCUGAUUUUACAUCAAGUUGGUGUAUCAGCCACUGUUUUUGUGCUGCUAAGGCAACUAGCAGUCUGAUAGUGUCUAGCCUGGCCACUGGUGCAAAGGUUUCCAGGUAAUCUGACCCAUACCUUUGACUGAAACCUUUCACAACCAAUCUAGCCUUUAACUUGUUUAGGCUACCAUCAGCAUUGUUCUUUACUCGAUAAACCCAUUUGACACCAAUAAUCUUCCUGUUUGUUGGUUUAUCAACCAGACUCCAGGUCUGAUUCUUUUCAAUCAUUCUGAUUUCUUCAAUCAUUGCUUGCUUCCAGUCCUCCUGGUUUUCUGCUUCUUCAAAGCAACUUGGUUCAACAGUAGCCACUUGUGCUCUUUCAUAAACAUCAGCCAGUGAUCGAGUGCCUCUGAUUGGAACAUCAUCUACAUCCAUUUCAGGUGUGUUUUCAUCAUUUUCAACUUGGUCCACUGCCAGAUCUUCAGCCACUACCUCUGGUUCAGCCUUCUCCCAAUUCCAGUGUCCUUUUUCAUUGAAAACAACAUCCCUGCUAACCAAUGUCUUGUUUGUAGCAGGUUCUAGAAUUCUGUAGCCCUUCUUAACCAAGCUGUAGCCGAUCAAGAUCCCUGCUUGAGCUCUUUUAUCUAGCUUGCUUCUCUUCUCAGCUGGAACUUGAGUAUAGCACAGACAACCAAAGGUUCUGAGAUGAGCCAGUGAUGGCUUAAACCCAAACCAGGCUUCAAAUGGAGUCUUUUCAGCCAGAGCCUUGGUUGGGAGCCUGUUUUGGAGAUAGACUGCUGUGUUAACAGCUUCAGCCCACAGAGUUUUGGGCAAAUUCUUCUCAAACAGAAGACAUCUUGCCAUGUUCAUCAAGCUUCUGUUUUUCCUUUCACUGACCCCAUUCUGUUGGGGUGUAUACACAUUAGUCAACUGGUGUUUGAUACCUGCUUCUUCACAGUAGGCUUGGAACUGAGCUGAGGUGUACUCAGUUCCAUUAUCUGACCUCAUUGCUCUAAGUUUGCAACCAGACUCAGUUUCAACAGCAGCUUUAUACUUCAGGAACACAGAUGGAACUUCUGAUUUCUGUUUUAGAAAAUAAAUCCAGCAGUAUCUUGUUAAGUCAUCAAUAAAUAGAAUAAAGUACCUGCUUCCUUUGAGAGACUCAGUCUUCAUUGGUCCACACACAUCUGUAUGCACAAGCUGGAGCUUCUCUGAUGCCCUCCAUGUUGUGCUUGUUGGAAAUGGCAAUCUUGCCAAUUUUCCUUGCUGACAUAUCUCACAAAGCUCAUCAUUCUUCACUGAAUCGAUGAAAUUUUCUGCCAGACCUUCAUUGACCAUGCGGGCUAUGGAUUUGUAGUUUGCAUGUCCAAGCCUCUGGUGCCAGAGUCUCGAGUCAUCAGUGGAGGCUAUGCAGGCUGAAUGUGAGUCAUUUGGCCAGUCUACUUCAAAACAUUUAUCAGUCAUGGUGACUGUUAUAAGGUUUGAUCCACUUGGAUCAAAAAUUUGACAUUCUUUCUCCUUGAAAACAACUGAGUAACCUUUCUCAAGUAGUUGAGUUAUACUGAGAAGGUUCCUAUUGAUUUCAGGUACCAAAAGUACAUUUGAAAUGAUUUUGCCACCUGUAGAAGUAUGAAUCAGCACAUCUCCUCUUCCUUCAGCAUUGAUUAACUGACCAUUUCCAAUUUUUACUUUGGUUUUGCAGGUUCUGUCCAGGGUUUUGAAGAUAGUUGCAUCUGGUGACAUGUGGUUUGUGCACCCACUGUCUAGAAGCCAGCCCUUUGAACCCUUUUUCUGAUUUGCUGCACAUGACACAGCAAAAACAUGUUCUUCUUGAUCACUGCUUUCUUCAGCUACUCGAGCUUCUACUUUUUGUUGCUGAAAUUGAUUCUGUCUUGGUUUGCUUCUAUUCUUGCAAACUUUUUCAACAUGGCCCUUUUUCUUGCAGUGUUGGCAUACUGCAUCUGGUCUAAACCAGCAUCUAUCUUCUGGAUGACCAGCUCUUUUACAAUGUCUGCAGAGUUGGUCACUGCUCCUAGCAGCAUCAGGCUUAGGCCUGUUUUUCCAGAACUUUUUGCCUUUAUGAGUUUUGAUGCUCGAGGCUUCUUUGGCUUGAAAAGCCCCUUCCUGGUGCUCCUCUUGUCUGCUGGCUCUUCUUUGCUCUUGUGCAUACAAGGCAUUGAUUAGCUCAGUUAAGGAGAUAGUUGUCAAGUCCCUUGAGUCUUCGAGGGAUGAAAUUUUAGCUUCAUACCUCUCUGGUAGAGUGGACAUGACUUUCUCAACCAUUCUAGCUUCACUGAAUUGCUCUCCUAGGAGCCUUAUGCUGUUUACAACAGCCAUAAUCCGGUCUGAGUACUGCUUAACUGUUUCUUCCUCUUUCAUUUUGAGAUUUUCGAAAUCUCUUCUCAAGUUGAGCAGCUGUUGUUGCCUUGUUUUCUCAGUCCCCUGAAAUUCUUCUUUCAGCUUGUCCCAAGCCUCCUUUGGUGUUUCACAGGCCAUGAUCCUCAUAAAGAUCACAUCUAUCACACAAUUCUGUAUGCAUGACAUGGCCUUGUGCCUUUUUGUUCUUUCAUCAGUGUGUUGCCUUAUUUGAGCAACUGUUGGAUUAGCUCGAAGAGGUGCUGGCUCAGCAUCUGAGUUGACAACUUCCCAUAGGUCGAAUGCCUGCAGGUAAGUCCUCAUCUUAACUGCCCAAAUGUUGAAACCCUCUCCAUUGAAGACAGGUGGUGAAGCUGGUGAAAAACCUGAUGAUGCCAUCGUUUUGAUGUUGAGCUACAACAGGUCCUCUAAGAAUACGGCUCUAGAUACCAAUUGUUGGAGCAAGAGGCAGCAGCAGCAAGCUUCAGCAAGAUGCUUGUCUAGCAAGUCUCGUGACUUGUAGGAGAAACAAAGCAGAAAACUCAAAUGGAUUUUUAAGUAAAACUAAAAGUGGAGAGCAUAUGGAUGAAAACUUGUUGAAUUCAUUCCUUAAACUUCAAAAUGGCACACAGCCAAUACAUAAACAAGUUUACAAUCUUGACAAAACAGUAGGUUGACCUAAACUUCACCUACUACCACUAAUACACAUAGUAACUUGUGCUAAUUAGCUUGAACAAAUAAACAAAGCUGAUUUAUCAGCUCAAUCAACAUCAAAAUUACAUCAAGCAUAAACCUAACAUAGUUAUAAAGCAACUAAGUUACAUUACUUUAACUUAAAAUUACAAAAUGAAACAUAAACAGCUUGCUGACUAGAUGAACCAGCAACUUCUGCAUGUUGAGCCUUCGAUGGUCUUGGUUGCUGCAUGCUGACCAUUACUUCAA